AUGUCUAUAAUGCGUUCAUUAAUUAGACAUAAUCAGCCACCUACCAUCGACGAAUCAAUUAAAAAAACGAAUUAUGGGGCAACAAAAGUGGAAAUGUGCUGGCAGGAAAAAAAGGGAAAUGUGGAAAAGGAAAGGAGACAUCAGUCCCCAAUAUCUUCUCUAGGGUUUAUAGAAUCAUGGAAAAGGGCCAUAAACAAUACCCAAGGGAAACCCCACCCCUCCCGUCUCUCUCCCCUUCCCUGUUUGUCUGUCUGUCUCCAUCUCUCCCCUCCUCCGUCCCCGCUCCCCUGCGCCUCCUCCCAACCCCACCCGGCCACCACCCCGCCCCACCCUGCGUGCCCGGCACGUGCUCCUCUCCCUCUUCAACCCUAA
rnacentral:rRNA from 1 species